AGAGUUUGAUCCUGGCUUAGGAUGAGCGCUAGCUACAGGCUUAACACAUGCAAGUCGAGGGGCAGCAUUGGAGUAGCAAUACUCAGAUGGCGACCGGCGCACGGGUGAGUAACACGUAUCCAACCUGCCGCUUACUCGGGGAUAGCCUUUCGAAAGAAAGAUUAAUACCCGAUGGUAUAAAGAGUUCGCAUGUUCUCUUUAUUAAAGAAUUUCGGUAAGCGAUGGGGAUGCGUUCCAUUAGAUAGUUGGCGGGGUAACGGCCCACCAAGUCUACGACGGAUAGGGGUUCUGAGAGGAAGGUCCCCCACAUUGGAACUGAGACACGGUCCAAACUCCUACGGGAGGCAGCAGUGAGGAAUAUUGGUCAAUGGACGAGAGUCUGAACCAGCCAAGUAGCGUGAAGGAUGACUGCCCUAUGGGUUGUAAACUUCUUUUAUAAGGGAAUAAAGUGAGGGACGUGUCCCUUUUUGUAUGUACCUUAUGAAUAAGGAUCGGCUAACUCCGUGCCAGCAGCUGC
rnacentral:rRNA from 1 species